rnacentral:rRNA from 1 species
UCGAGGGAUAAGCUUUCGAGCUGAAACCGGCGUACGGGUGCGUAACGCGUAUACAAUCUGCCUUUCACAUAGGGAUAGCCCGAAGAAAUUUGGAUUAAUACCUAAUGGUAUAUAGGAGCGGCAUCGUUUUUAUAUUAAAGCUACGGUGGUGAAAGAUGAGUAUGCGUUCUAUUAGCUAGUUGGAGAGGUAACGGCUCCCCAAGGCGACGAUAGAUAGGGGUUCUGAGAGGGAUGUCCCCCACACUGGUACUGAGAUACGGACCAGACUCCUACGGGAGGCAGCAGUGAGGAAUAUUGGACAAUGGUCGGAAGACUGAUCCAGCCAUGCCGCGUGCAGGAUGAAGGUCCUAUGGAUUGUAAACUGCUUUUGUAAGGGAAGAAUAAGGAGUACGUGUACUUUGAUGACGGUACCUUACGAAUAAGCAUCGGCUAACUCCGUGCCAGCAGCCGCGGUAAUACGGAGGAUGCGAGCGUUAUCCGGAAUCAUUGGGUUUAAAGGGUCCGUAGGCGGGCUGAUAAGUCAGAGGUGAAAGCGCUUAGCUCAACUAAGCAACUGCCUUUGAAACUGUCAGUCUUGAAUGAUUGUGAAGUAGUUGGAAUGUGUAGUGUAGCGGUGAAAUGCUUAGAUAUUACACAGAACACCGAUAGCGAAGGCAUAUUACUAACAAUUUAUUGACGCUGAUGGACGAAAGCGUGGGGAGCGAACAGGAUU